UACGUAGGGGGCAAGCGUUGUCCGGAUUUAUUGGGCGUAAAGAGCGUGUAGGCGGUCAGGUAGGUCCGUUGUGAAAACCCGAGGCUCAACCUCGGACUUGCAGUGGGUACGGGCAGACUAGAGUGUGGUAGGGGGAGACUGGAAUUCCUGGUGUAGCGGUGGAAUGCGCAGAUAUCAGGAGGAACACCGAUGGCGAAGGCGGUUCUCUGGGCAUUACCUGACGCUGAGGAGCGAAAGUGUGGGGAGCGAACAGG
rnacentral:rRNA from 1 species